GGAUAAAAAUGUCAUCUGAAUCAACAGAUUGUGUUAAAGAAAAUUAUAUUAAUAUUUGCCGUUUUAUAGAAAGUUUGUUUUGAAUCGAAUGGAUCUCAUCUUUGAGCUGAUUUGGACACACUAUUUUGCCGUGUAUUAUUUUCUGGAUAUUUUCUACAUGAAAAUUAAUAAUUGCAAUGUUCUAACAAAUCUUACACAAUUUCAUUACGACCUACAUUCUCACUUCCAUGUUCGAACCUGAAGAGCUAGCAGCAGCAAAUAACAUUCCAAAUAAUAUUGUCGAUGCGUAUUCGUAUAGAAAAGCGGUAAUAUAACAGUGAACGUUCAUAUUCCGAGCGUGAAAGUCGCAAAAAAGGAGAUAUAAGGAGCGCAUUAUUUCCAGUAGGCCGCAAUCAGGAUAAAAGUGUAAUCUCGGACUCGUCACCGCGAUUGUACAGAAAUAUGGCGGCCCCAAUGUGCCAUGCUUCGAGGCGCAUCAAAUUUCAUUGAGUUUUUACAGCAGUUGGAUCAAGAUCUGAGGGCGUGUCGACUUGGCGAGUCAUAUUAGUAAAAACUUAGUAGACGCCACCUGUAUAUGCGACGACUACUCGUUACUAGAUGGUAGUAGGAAGCUGAAAGUCAUGUGAGAUGGCUUUAGGAAAAUUGAAUAAAUUCCGAUACCAGUGUUAGCGAUAACACACUCAGACGUAAGCCGGCAAAUUGGAUCCGUCGGACCAAUCAAUAACAGUCCGUGCUCGCGGCUCGCAACACUUUUCUAUAUUCCAGCAGAAAUUCCGACCAACCUGCGACUCGGCGAGCGUCCGCCGUCUCAAGGAAAAUUGAGUUCGCUCUUCAUUAGCCCCUUGAACUCUCUAGGCGGGAUUUAAAAAAAACUUUUUCAUAAGGAGUUUAAGAAGAGUCAAGUUUUCCAUCAACAAAAUUAAGGUAUUUCGGGCCCGAUAUGCUGUGAGGAGGGUCCGUGACGUGUGAUCGACGGCCUGGCCGCGUCGUCGCUACAAAUUUUGAUUAAGGUAUUCUGUAUAAUUAUUAUGAUGUAUAUGAAAUAUAUUCAAUAGUUU